AAAAGUAAAUUCCAAUAGCCAUUCAAACACAAACAUACCAAACCUUAUGCCGGUGACGAUGCAUACACAAUAUUACGGAAAGGAUGUCGAUUAUGCAAUCAAUAAUUAUCAGAAAAUACAAACAUCAGAACCUAAAGGAAGUACUGCCCAACCUGACAACAGCGUGUGUGCGCCGAAUUCACGCAUCUCAACUGAUCUGAGCAAUUCAAAUAUAAAUGACAUUAUUAAUAAUAAUUGUUAACCCUACAAUUUGCAGAAAAUAAACAAAUGAUAAAUUUCAAAAAAUAUGCAGAGACAAUCCACACUUGAUAGGAAAUCUUCUAAGAUAAUACAAGGGCAAGCAGUACCGCAGAACUACUAGAAAUUACGGCAAAUAGGCUAACAUUCAGAAACAUAAACAAGUCCAGAAAUUAAAGAUUACUGAUUGAUUACUGACUUGAGAUAUGGCAUAGA